rnacentral:rRNA from 1 species
AUGAACGCUGGCGGCAGGCUUAACACAUGCAAGUCGAGGGGCAGCAUACCCGGUGACGGGUGAUGGCGACCGGCGGAAGGGUGAGUAACGCGUGAGCAACAUACCCGUAUCAGUGGGAUAAUACAGGGAAACUUGUUCUAAUAUCACAUAAUAUUAUUCAGAGGCAUCUUUGGAUAAUUAAAGUUCAGGCGGAUACGGAAUGGCUCGCGUGACAUUAGCUAGAUGGUAGGGUAAAGGCCUACCAUGGCUAUGAUGUCUAGGGGUUCUGAGAGGGAGGUCCCCCACACUGGAACUGAGACACGGUCCAGACUCCUACGGGAGGCAGCAGUGAGGAAUAUUGGACAAUGGAUGAAAAUCUGAUCCAGCCAUGCCGCGUGCAGGAAGGCGGCCCUAUGGGUUGUAAACUGCUUUUGUACGGGAGCAAUAAGGCCUACGAGUAGAUUGAUGAGAGUACUGUACGAAUAAGCAUCGGCUAACUCCGUG